rnacentral:rRNA from 1 species
UACAGAGGUCUCGAGCGUUGUUCGGAUUCAUUGGGCGUAAAGGGCGCGUAGGCGGCCUCUGCAAGUCGACUGUGAAAUCUCCGGGCUUAACCCGGAACGGUCAGCCGAUACUGCAGGGCUAGAGUGCAGAAGGGGCAACUGGAAUUCUCGGUGGUAGCGGUGAAAUGCGUAGAUAUCGAGAGGAACACCGGUGGCGAAGGCGGGUCUCUGGGCAGUAACUGACGCUGAGAAGCGAAAGCAUGGGGAGCGAACAGG